CAGUCGCCGCGGUAAUACGUAGGGUGCAAGCGUUAAUCGGAAUUACUGGGCGUAAAGCGUGCGCAGGCGGUUAUAUAAGUCAGAUGUGAAAUCCCCAGGCUCAACCUGGGAACUGCAUUUGAGACUGUAUGGCUAGAGUGUGUCAGAGGGGGGUAGAAUUCCACGUGUAGCAGUGAAAUGCAUAGAUAUGUGGAGGAAUACCGAUGGCGAAGGCAGCCCCCUGGGAUAACACUGACGCUCAUGCACGAAAGCGUGGGGAGCAAACAGGAUUAGAUACCCGUGUAGUCCCUGUCUCUUAUAC
rnacentral:rRNA from 1 species